UUAUGGCCACAUCAGGUUGAAACGCUAGUUCCCGUAUGAUCAGCGAAGUUAAGCAACGUCGAGCCUGGUCAGUAUCUAGAAGGAUGACCGCUUGCGAAAAUGAGGUGCUGUAA